CUUCAGGAGCCAAAAAAGCCUCAAGUACAAACAUGCUUUGGCCGCUUUCGAAGAAACUGGCCCCGGACACCGGCGUUCAGCAGUACACCUUCAACGAAAAGCGAAAGAACCCGACGAUUGGUCCACCUGCGGAAAAGAUCCUCAAACGAAGCCACUUAAGCUACAUCGGAUGAAGGAAUAUCGCGAUUCGAUUAUUAAAUUUAACAAAAAUACGCGAACAUCAAAAUUUGAUUAGUUUUGUUCGAAAGAUUUAAUUUAUUGAAACCCUCCAAACGUGUGAGACUACCUGUCAAAAAUGCUAUCGGCGAUGCCAGGGGCAACCGAGGGGAAAUCGAAAAAUGAACUAAACCAAAAGGUAUAAUUCACACGGAAAAACAAGUGAGUACAUUGCAAUUUUAUAAAAAUUCAAAACAUUUUAAACAUCAUUUAAACAUGAUUAUCAAUGCAGAAAAAUGCAUUUUAGAUUGUUUUCAGUUGAUUAGACUUCUAUUUUCAUGGAAAUUUUGAAGUUUUUUGGAAAAAUAUUUUUUUUUGCCUCCUGAUUUUUCAGACCAAUUUUGGGGGGUGACAUAAACUUUGAAAAAUAUUUGCAACGGCCUAAACAAACAGUGCAUUAAGCCCUCGUCAGUGUAUGUUCAUAUUUAAAAAUGCAUUGUUUUUACAAAUUCACGUUGGCCCAUUUACAUUAUUUUGCUUGAAUUUUUUCAUGCGCAGCUGUGAGGUAUAAUUUUUAUGUCUUUUAUUUGUUAUAUAUUUUGCUAGCACCGCUUUAGCUUUUUUUCGCUACACCUACAUUGUUUAUAUUGCAUUGCAUCUUUGACAGAACAGGAACAGAGGGGCGAAAGUCGAAAAACAACACAGGAAAAAGUUUUCCUUCGGCAAAUUUGUGUGGCUCAGCGUUUACUAUCCGGGUUGGCGAAUGUCCACGGAGUGUUUCAGAACGUGAUCAGGCUACCGUGCUGUCACGGUCGAAGGUGUGAAAGUGGUUCGGUUACCUUAGCUCCCCGGUCAAACAAGGUCAGAUCGAGCGCCGCAUUUACCUAUAUUAUAGACGGAGAUGCAUGCGUCAGUACAGCGUCCGUCUCCAGGCUGGUGUCCACGUUCCUGUCAGUGUAUGAUGGCCCCGGACGAUGUGUUGCCAUUGAUCAAAUCGAAAUCAAGCUGUUGGACAUCCCCGAAGGCAAGGCGGUUACGUUUGCGCGAAAUGAUGGCGAGCGCUUAAGAUACCAGUGGGUGGCUUGCUGCGAUUGGCGAUUGCUCGCUUCUGGGCUGGGUGGUGUCCAAUAUCGAUUUCCUUUAAGAUGCGUCCGGUUGCAUCUGGAAGCGAUUAACCCUGUGAACCUGUAGUUGGUCUAUAGAUGACUAAUGCCAAAUUAUCUACAGGUAAGUA